UGUGGCCCCUAUCAAAGUUGCGGUGGCUUCUGCGCAGCAGCGGUGGUCAGGAAGGAGCCGGCGGGACUGUUUUGGACGUUGCUGUCCUGCUUGCUAUAACUGACCUGCAACAUUUGGGGAAAAGACAGUC
ensembl:snoRNA